GACGAACGCUGGCGGCGUGCCUAAUACAUGCAAGUAGAACGCUGAAGAGAGGAGCUUGCUCUUCUUGGAUGAGUUGCGAACGGGUGAGUAACGCGUAGGUAACCUGCCUGGUAGCGGGGGAUAACUAUUGGAAACGAUAGCUAAUACCGCAUAAAAUUGAUUAUUGCAUGAUAAUUAAUUGAAAGAUGCAACUGCAUCACUACCAGAUGGACCUGCGCUGUAUUAGCUAGUUGGUGAGGUAACGGCUCACCAAGGCGACGAUACAUAGCCGACCUGAGAGGGUGAUCGGCCACACUGGGACUGAGACACUGCCCAGACUCCUACGGGAGGCAGCAGUAGGGAAUCUUCGGCAAUGGGGGGAACCCUGACCGAGCAACGCCGCGUGAGUGAAGAAGGUUUUCGGAUCGUAAAGCUCUGUUGUAAGAGAAGAACGGGUGUGAGAGUGGAAAGUUCACACUGUGACGGUAUCUUACCAGAAAGGGACGGCUAACUACGUG
rnacentral:rRNA from 1 species